rnacentral:lncRNA from 1 species
GCCCUGAGUACUUUAACCCAGCACCCUGGGCUAAGCCUCGGGUGGAUUUCUAGCAGACACUGACAUUUUCCACUGCUUUCCCAGGCAACUCCUCACAUAAGAGAUUUGGAUUUGUACAGAGAAGAAGAAAAACUAAAAGGAACUGGUAACAGACCGGGAAGGAUCUUUUAUUCUGUCUAGAAAAUCUACAUUCGAGACUUAAGAAGGGAAAGCAGCAGACACACUGCUUGGGCUUGUGUGCCAUCUGGCUUGACCCUGAUCCCUGACAACGGGAUGGCCACUGAGUGUGAAAAGUCAGACCGCUGUGAUCUACUUCAGCUUAAAAACUGCGCCUGAUUGAAGACAGCACAAGGAACAGUACAGGAGAGAGACCAAGCACACACGUGAACGUCACAUUCAUUUGUUCUGCAGUUCCAGAAACACGCUGAGAAGAAUGAAUCCCAGCAGUCCACGGUGUGAAGAAAAGAAAUGUGGAUAGUUGCUUGCGUGAGCUGGUGUCAUUCAGGAUGAACCAUAUGAGCAAGACAGCCCUUUGCGCACUAGAGCGUGAGAACAUACUACCAGUAAAAGAAAUCACACCCUGCUCCCCCAUGAAUACCUCUCUGCCACAAGGGAAACAUCAGACUGGUCCCACAGCAGUGGGAUGUGGCCGUGGGAUGCGUGCAGAGACCAAUGCAGGGCCUUCAGGUCUACCUAAGCUCUGUGACCACAGUGCUCUAUGGUGCAUUAAUCUGUUGCAAGAGAUUCCUACGAGACUUUUUAAAACUACAUCUAAAUGUAAAGAUUCCUUACGGAUGUGAGGCAGAGUGUAACAUUUACGUUCCAACGGAUGGCUGAGGAUGAGAAUAAAGAACUGGUAGCAAAGAGGGUUGUAUCUCGAUUUUUCCAUAGAGAUGUUUUCAGGCUCUGAGAACGUGCCCGUGCGUUUGUGCUGUCAAAAAAGAAAUAAGCAGUAUGAGCUUUUCCGGGAUCAGAAACAGAUUUAGUUGUAAAUAUCUGGCAUCAGAACACCAACCCAAAACAACAAGGAAGCCUGAGGCGUUCUGUAGCGGCUAGUUACGGCAACUGCCUUGAGGAGCCUUCUAUAGAUGGCUUUAAUGUAUUGCCCUCUACCGGAACUACCGAAGAUUGCAGGCUGACGCUCAGCGCGGAGAAAUCUCUCGGGCAGGAGAGCCGUGAGAUGGAUACAAACGCGUUGUUUCACCCUGCUCAGCAGAAUCGAAUGCUUCUGGGUUUGGAAUCCAAAGAGGGGCUCGGGUUUUGUUCUGGCUUGCUGAAGGGAUAUUCAUUUCUUUGGAGAAGAAUCCGUGUAGGCAGGAGAGAGAUCCAAAGUUAUCAGCUUGCCCAGAAAAUGGGUAUUGUAUCCUUCAACUUACAGGAAAAGAAAAAAAGAAAGCUUUCUGAGUUGCAGAGGCAGAUGGGUUCAGAGCUGAUGAGAGAAUUGUUGCGUGAAACGCUGAGGAAAAGUUCUCUUUGGGUCCUUUGCCUCGGAUCAUUAUUUUUUUAUUAUUAUUAUUACUAUGUUUGCGUUCAAAAAGAAUGCAAGGCUUUCCCUUACUGAAAGGUUUUUAUUAUUAUUAUUAAUAAUAAUCAUCCAGCAGCACUCAACUGAGACCAUUUUCCCCAUUAAAGGUUUAGGUCACUCAAUGCAUACUUUGUUACUGAGAUCUAAGGAAGAAAUGAAUCCCACGUAGGUGCAUUCUUAUAUUAAAACAAGGAAGAGAUUUAAAUGUUUGGCUCAUCCUGAAUCCACAGUAAAAUCUUCAGUGUUUCUCCCACCACAGGUGCCUAAAUCCUACUGCUAUUAUUCCACGAAGCUGUUAUUCCUAUUGUCACAGCUUUGGUUGUAUGACUUGAACUUUUAAACUAAAUUAUAAAAAUAAGUCAGAAAUGUACCGAAAUGAGACCUUUUAUUGAUGCAGUUCUAACAUGGAAAGCUUGACCCAAUGCUCUGUUUAAGGAAAGUUUUGCAUGAAGCUGUGGAAGUAUUUCAUUACUGUAUGGGUGAAUUCUCCGAUUUUACACAUUGGAAUAAUCCCUUAAAAGAAAACCUGCUUUCCAUACAAGGAAUUGGAGAAUGUGUGAAUUACUCGUGGCAGCAAGCUGAAGACCUGACUUGUUUUGUGUAAAAGAUGAAAGAUCAGGUCACCACUCUUGGCCCUGUAAAACGCACUGGUUGUAGUUUCAUUGCACCCAUUUAAUUCACAGGUUUUGUAUUCUUGUUCAGCCUUAGCAAGGUCAUCCGAGCCCCUGAAAGGAAAAGAAAAAAAUAUUGAAAGGACAGAUUUAAAGAACCAAGCUAAUAGAGUUUUGUAUUUGUUGGAUUUCUCAGAAGUAAACCAGUAGAACAUCUCUAAGUAAACAAACACGUUUAGGUGUUCUUCAUUCCAAAGGCUAUUUAGCAGUCCUAUAGUACUGUCUGCAGUUUGUUGUGGCAUCCUUGCUGGAACCAAGAAUUUAUGAGUGUCAUUCUGCUCUUCUUAGCUCAAAGUGUUGAACUCUGCUUUUCGUGACUUUGAAUGAACAGGGUAAAAGCUAGGAGGACUCACCUGUAUUUUUAAGGAAGCCGUACUGAUGUUGUUUUUACCUUAGCAUUUCAUAAAGCAUAUUUUGAUUGCUGAAGUAGCUGUGAUACCCGUGUCAAUAAAAGCGUGCUAGCACGCAGUAUCUCCUUAUGCAGCGUGUCAAAGUUGGAGAUGUGUUGUGAAAGUCCCUCAAAUAUCUCUGUCCAAGGAUGAUGUAAAAAGACGCGUUUACAGAAUUUACUCCAGUGAGUUGCUCAUAGAAACAGAGAGGGGUCCUGCAAAAUUCUGGUUUGAGGCCAAAAUGCAGAACUAUCCUAGAUGUGUCUCGUUACCUAGCGGGGCGUUUUCAUAGGUGUCUUGUAUUUAUUGCAUAGGCAUCUUGUAUCUAUUGCAUCCCCUCACAGAGUAGGGAAACGGAAGGAUCUGUUCUGUCUGUUUCUUGAGCAGGGAAUGAGACUUUGCUGGAGGUAAACUGACGUGUAAAGGAAUAGCGACCUUGGCAGCCCGACAGAUGACCUUACUUCAAUUUUAGGUCCUUAACUUUUCUUUUUCUUUUUGUGAAACAAAUGUGAAGUUAAUUGUUUUACAUUAGACGUUCCAUUUGACACUGGGUGAGACUGAGGAAAACAAAAGUAACUAUGUAGCAAAUAAAGUCUACAUACUUGAUGUAUGGCACACAACAACUGUCUUCCUUCUUUCUUUUUUUGACACUGUUGCCGUUAGAGUGAAACCCUGGCAAUCUCGUGUUCACUGAAGAAGGUAUUUUCUGCUGGAGGCUGACAAAGCGAUAGAACAGUAUUCAGCCUAUUUAAUAAAAUACGAUACUUUGUUUUUGUAAUUAGUCUUUAUUGUGAAAAAUGAUAUGUAGUGCAGUUCACCUUUCUUACACUGCGUCUUACAGUGAUACGUACGUAUAGAAUACAUCUAAAUUUGCCUUUAAAAAUAAGUAAAUAAGUAAAGAUCACAGACGUAAAAUGUCUUGAGUGCGAUUACUUUAUGAACCGUGAAAAGUAAUUGAAGAUAUUUUGGUAAUGUUUUCUGCCAAGAAGCAGUUCCUGCUUUUCACCUGUGUAAAUAAGUGGGAGAUAAAGUUCAGCAGUUUUCUGUCAUCAAAACACUGUGACUGUAGGUUACACGUGGCUCCAGAGAUGUUCCAAAAGCCAGCAGAAUCUUGCUCCUCUAACGUGAGGUUUAGGCAGCAAACACAAGGUACCAUUGCUGAAAAAUGUUCUACUCAAACUAUUUAACUCCUUUCUCUUCUUCUUUAUUUUCAGUCUGUAAAAAGGAGUGUUUUCAGACAACUUUCACUGGUAACCUUUCCUUCAUUUAGUGCACAAAUUCUCACCUAAUGAAGAAAACGAGCCUCCCCAAAUCAACCUUCUGCAGGAAGGUACUCGAGUCUGUUUCUCUGGGAUUCCAGAUAAGAAACCUAAGCGCUAGGGGCAUGGGUGACUUGAAGGAACACGCUAGUGACAUUUUUGAGGGAUCCUGAGUCUCCCACGAGGGGAAACGCUGCUUCAUCUCAACAUUUUCCGAAGUGGUGACGGACCAUUUACUGCUCUUCUAACGAGACGCUGAAAAGCGUAGAAAAAAAAAGAAAGCUUAAAACACCAGCAGAACUGCUUUCUCUAAUUCACUUCUACAUUUGUUGGGUUUUUUUUUUCUUUUUCGUUAUAAAGUGAUCUAUCAUUAAAAAGAAAUAGUGGUUAAAGCCUUUUCAUCCACUCCACCAAGAGUCGUUGGAUUGUUCAUCCAUCCAACAAGAAGACGUUUCCUGAAGGCAGUGGAAGAAACUGCACCCAGCUGCCCUUUCGCUCACCUUACUCUCAGGGCUUCUGCCUGUUAGGCAGCCACUUAAGUACCGAUUGCUGCAAAAGCCUGGAUGCGAUGACACCCCUCACGUUGGAGAGCUGCACGGGGACAUAUUUCCUACAGCACCGGAGUGUUUGGAUGGCUUCUACAUUUCCUGGGCACUAUUUUUUAAUAGUUAUUCAAGAGCAACCUAUAUUUCCGACUUCCUGUAACAAAAGUCAUGAUCUAAUUGGAAAUGACGAGCAUAAAAGAUGACACUAUGGCCCAUGACAGGGCAAUGUGAGGGACCCGAAGCUUCAUUUAGAGUCUGGCUUCUAGCAGAAACUCUUCAGGAGAUAAUGAAUUUUGUUAUUAAAUGUAAACGUGUUUCACAUUGAUUCAAAUGCACUGUGCUAUGGGUGAGCGUGCUGGAUUUUGCAGUUGAACGUCACACGGUCUGAAAUUGCGACGUUCGUUUGAGAUUUCUAUCAUCCACAAGAAAUAAAAACAACAAUAAAUGUUACCGAAUAAAUAACUUUCCUAUACAGGCCAAAGUCAAUUCUCAACUUUACUUUAAGAGGAAAAGUGAACUUGGCAGUGUUAUGCUGGCUACAAAAUCCAGAGCAACAAGUCACCAUCAACUAGAUUUUUAGAGAGAUUCCUGUUGGGAAACUUUCAAGCUUAGGACUGAAAGAUGGAGAAUGCAGAUAUACUUGAAUGCAAAACAGCCAGUGGAUUUAACAGGCAUUGUGCUAGGUAAUCUCUAAAGAAGAGAAAAAUCCUAGUAUUAACCGUCAUUUUCCUUGAGUAAAAUCAGACAUUCUUAAUACUGAAUAUUUUGAUAAAGAAUUGCACCUAUCUGCUUAAAUAGUUGUUUACAAUAUUC